UACGUAGGGUGCGAGCGUUUGUCCGGAAUUACUGGGCGUAAAGAGCUCGUAGGUGGUUUGUCGCGUUGUCCGUGAAAACUCACAACUCAAUUGUGGGCGUGCGGGCGAUACGGGCAGACUGGAGUACUGCAGGGGAGACUGGAAUUCCUGGUGUAGCGGUGGAAUGCGCAGAUAUCCGGAGGAACACCAGUGGCGAAGGCGGCCGCCUGGACCUGACCUGACGCCUGAGGCGCGAAGGCGUGGGGAGCG
rnacentral:rRNA from 1 species